GGAAUGAUUUGUUGUAUUAAAUAUACCUCAUUGUACUAAAUAUACUUUAUUUAUGUGUUUGGGUAUGAAAUUAUAGAGUGCCAAUUGUCGUGGGUAUUUUGAGAGGUAUGAUGACCCAAUCCCUAAUCGAGCAAAAAGCAUAAUUUUUUAAUUUUUAGGGAGGAUUAAUAAAGAUAAGGCAAAUGUUGCGGGAGAGAGAACUAAUAUGA
rnacentral:misc_RNA from 1 species